rnacentral:rRNA from 1 species
CAGCCGCCGCGGUAAUACGGAGGGUGCAAGCGUUAUCCGGAUUUAUUGGGUUUAAAGGGUCCGUAGGCGGACUUAUAAGUCAGUGGUGAAAGCCUGUCGCUUAACGAUAGAACUGCCAUUGAUACUGUAAGUCUUGAGUAUAUUUGAGGUAGCUGGAAUAAGUAGUGUAGCGGUGAAAUGCAUAGAUAUUACUUAGAACACCAAUUGCGAAGGCAGGUUACCAAUAUAUAACUGACGCUGAGGGACGAAAGCGUGGGUAGCGAACAGGAUUAGAUACCCCUGUAGUCCCUGUCUCUUAUAC